GAGAUGUCGCUGGUCAGACCAGUAUUUCUUACCCAUCUCUAACUGCAUUGUGUCAAUGACAUUAUUGUGGACCUGGAGUCACAUGUAGGCCAGACCAGCUCCCAUUCAGGGGUCGAGGAUCCUGUUCCUGCUGAGGGGCCCAUAAAACCUGCAAGAGGGAGAGAGAAGAGAGACAGAGUGUCAGGUGGAAGCUCAACCAGAGAUCUGCAAGUGCCAUUUUGGCUGUUGUUCUUUGAUCACACUAACUGCUGCAGCUACAGGCAAAUCUUUGCCCUGAUGCUAUUUUAAAGAAAGACAAAUAAGAAUUCCCAUAUGGACACUGGACCUGCCAACAUUUUUAAAGCUCCCUCCUUAACUUCCAAGGUGGCGGUAACAGGGUAGGUCGGAAGUGUUUGGCCUCUUGAUCACCAGACCUGCUGUAUCCUUUUUUUUAAUAAUUUAUUUUUCACUUAUUUAUGCUUAACAUC